GUCAGACUACUCCCGAACUACUACCAUUCGGCUAUGUGUAACCUAGGCAUCUCUCUCGGCUUUUUGCUUCUUAUGACACUAAUGACGUUAAUUCCAGAGUCCAUCGCGCAAGAUGCGGCUGUGGCCUUGAAAGCAUCUCUGUUGGCCAACUAUGACAAAAGUUUGCGGCCGGUCAAGUCAGCAUCUACACCUGUGAAUGUGGACUUCGACGUCUCCAUCAGACAGAUUAUUGAAUUGUCGGAAAAAGAUCAGAUAUUCCGAAUCAACUUAUGGCUGCGAGUGGUAAGUAUUACUGUCAACUUAUCAUCUGUAAAGACUUUUCUCCUUAAAUUAAAAUAUAUCAUUGCAGCAGUGAGUAUUUGUUAAUGAUUAA